UACGUAGGGGGCUAGCGUUGUCCGGAAUCAUUGGGCGUAAAGAGCGUGUAGGCGGUCCGGUAAGUCCGCUGUGAAAGUCGGGGGCUCAACCCUCGAAUGCCGGUGGAUACUGUCGGGCUAGAGUGCGGAAGAGGCGAGUGGAAUUCCUGGUGUAGCGGUGAAAUGCGCAGAUAUCAGGAGGAACACCGGUGGCGAAGGCGGGUCCCUGGGCCGAUACUGACGCUGAGGAGCGAAAGCGUGGGGAGCGAACAGG
rnacentral:rRNA from 1 species